GAGAUGAUCCCAGACAGAGACCCCAGGACGCCACAAAGAGGUGCAAGUAAAAGGUGGAGAAACCGAAGAGAAAGAGAAGCAGAAGGAUGUGGGCGCAAUGGAGAAAGAUGUUACUGAGACUUCAGGGUAGUGAUGCCCACCUACGACCAUGAUGGAAUCUUGGCCUGUGCUGCGGCCAAGGACCAUGUCUAGGUCUGUGGCCAUGCAGUUGCCACCAAAGGCCAGGCACACGUCCCUGGUCUGGGCUGUUGAUUAUGGACACGUUGAUAUAUGUGAUCUGCGCAGAACUGGGUCUGCUACUCACAUGGACAUAGUGGGAGUGCUGGACCUGAGGAGUUAAGAGAAGGAGCGCUCAUCUCGUCCCUAACCAGCUGGGUAGAACUGGCACAUGACCCUGAAAGGACAGUAGAGUUGUUCCUCUUUGCUUGUGUAGGUGGUUUUAAUCUUUCUGGGUUUUCCCAGUAUUUUCAUCUAUAAGUAGUGUUCGUAAUUGAGUUGCCUCAAGAUCAAUAUGAAACUGCCUUGGAUACAGAAAGUCAAUAGCUACUUCCAAAGUCAGCCCUGUGCAGUGUAGGUGUCUGUAAAGAAAAAUUCCAGCUGCUGCUUCAGAGGAAAUCUACAUCUGCAUAACAAAACUUGGAGGCUCAAUAGAAGAUGUGCCUACUCUUAUGCAGCUUGAUAUGCCAAGACUGGUUGAUACCUAUGUAUGGGAGGCCUCCCAUUUCCUGAUGAGAACAUGUGGAGUGGGUAGAUGGAGACAGGAGUUGACUUGAAAUCUUGGCCUUUCGGUGAUGAUACCCAAUAUGUACAGUACAUGAGAGGCAUCCUGAGGAAUACAAAUCAUAAAGAAACAAGGAAAACAGCUUCAUAUUGUUGUUCA
rnacentral:lncRNA from 1 species